UAAUACAUAGGUAAUCUACCCUUGAGAUUGGGAUAACCCUGCGAAAGUGGAGCUAAUACCGAAUAAGACCACGUGACAUAAGUUGCGUGGUAGAAGGUGGCUUGUAUUUAUACUGGCUAUCACUUGAGGAUGAGCCUGUGGCCUAUCAGCUAGUUGGUGAGGUAAAAGCUCACCAAGGCUAUGACGGGUAGCUGGUCUGAGAGGACGACCAGCCACACUGGGACUGAGACACGGCCCAGACUCUUACGGGAGGCAGCAGUGGGGAAUAUUGGGCAAUGGGCGAAAGCCUGACCCAGCGACGCCGCGUGGGUGAUGAAGGCCUUCGGGUUGUAAAGCCCUGUCAUGUGGGAAGAACGGCCCCAUGGUUAAUACCCAUGGGGAUUGACGGUACC
rnacentral:rRNA from 1 species